rnacentral:tRNA from 1 species
GCCGUUGUAGCCCAACUGGUAGAGGCGCUCGAUUCAGGGUCGAGAGGUUGGCGGUUCGAAUCCGUCCAGGGGCA